ACCUGCGGAAGGAUCAUUGU
rnacentral:rRNA from 4 species